GGGCUUCAGAAACACUUUUCAGCUGUGUCUCCAGGGCAAGGUGGAGCCCUGCCACAUGCUGUUAUCUUGCAGUUAUUCUGCAGAAGCUAGAACAUGCCACAUCCGAUGUGUGGGUAGAACAUGGAUUAGCCUUACCCAGCCAGGCAUCCCACCGUUGGACAGACCCUUUAUCCUUUGGUGCACGAAGCCACCAUAAACAGGAGAAGAUAUUUCUCACUCUGAGCUACAGGAAGUUGAUGCUGAAAUGCAAAAGCAGCAGAUGUUACUGGGAUGCAGUCAUAAGAUGGAGGCAAACGGGCUCUUUGUGACCAGCUCAGGCUACAGCCCCAGCCUCUUUCCAGAUGGUGCAGAUGCUAUUUAUAAAGCAUUGCGCAGGGGAUCUGUUAUGGGGUGCUUUACAGCCACACUUUGCAAAAGGACACGCCUGCUGUCUCUUCCAUUGAGAAAGACUCUCCCAGAGCAAAACAGCCACAGGUCAGUGCUGCUGCUCUCAGGGGCAUGUGGUAAGAUGUCCUGUGACUGCAGCGAGGACAAAUCUGUGCCUUAUUGAUGUUUUCAUUAAACAGUCCAAACAGCGAGGCUGGAUGCACACAGCAAAAUGUCUCCACUUCACUGGAGAAAAAGACAAAUCCUUAAAGAAAUUGGCAGUUGGAGAAUGCCAGACACCUCGCUCUGAGGACAAAUAAAAGCACUCUGAAUAAUCGUGUAAGAAGUUGCAGGAGAGAUGGCAGAGGGAGAGGCUGCGCCUUCCUCCACACAGCUCAUGGGAAGGCAGCUAGCAGUAGGACAUUAAAAGUACUCAGAGUAGAGGGACGGUGUGAUGGAUGUGCAAGUUUUUAUUGGAAUUCACUUGGAAAGACCUGAAUAACUUGCAAUGCCUCCGUACAAAACUUAUGUUAUUCUGACAGCUUUAUCAUGUACCUUCUCUUUCCAGCUAGGCUGAUGUCCCCCUGCUAGCUGCACAGGACUCCAGCAAGCCUGAUGGAUGAGUAUGAGUAAUAACUUGUCAUUUUGUAGAGCUUUUAAUCGGAGCAAUUUGAAAGCCCCUCACAAUGGAAUUAUCAUUAUCUCCGUAUGCCAGAGGAGAAAUCAAGGCACAAAGCUGUUCAGGAGAUCAAAAAAGCAUCCAGGUCUUGCAGGACCUCACUUCAGUGCUUCGUCAACUAUCUUCACUGCUGACCUGAACCUGUAUCUUUGUUGUUAUGCCUCCUUGCCCUCUUCAGUUGAAGGAGGUACUGGGGAGAUGGCAGUGAUGCUAUAUCUUCUUCCAUGUCAUAAAAUGCACAGUAGACCUGGCAUUAGAAAUUAACAGGAUUUAUUUUUUUUUUAAUUCCUAAUAGGAGUUUAUGUCAGAACUCUAAAAACAAUUAAUUUUCAAUUUAUACUCAGAAUAAUAACUGACAUGGUAGUAAACGUGUUCAUUGAUAUCUAAUUUGGUGUGGCUAAUUUCCUCAAUGCCAGUGAGCUGCCUGGGUCCUUCUUAUCACCUUCAUGUAUUAGCUGAAUCUUUAUGUAUUAACUGUAACUAUGACUUAAUUACAUGGCAACUGAAUUUAUACCCUGGUGGAGAAGGAUUGCUCCUCAGACAUUUUCUUCAGAUAAACAAUAGAUAAUUGCCAUGUUCCUGCUUUAAUUAAUGUAAAUUAUAGCAUUAUUUGAAUGAUCUUGUGUCCAGGCUUGGUGAGGUGCAGAUCACUGCUCCAGCCGUGCUGUGCUCCCACCGUGCCCACCGGAGUCAAUGCUGUGCAGCAGAGUUGGGUUUCAUCCAGCUGCAAACAUCAGUGAUUCUAUUCAUGAAAAUAGCACCUCAGUAGUGGGGAAUGACAUGUACAUAACAUUUAAAUAUUUGCUCAUUGCGGUAUGCAUUGUCUGUCCCCAUGCCUCAGAGAAGAAUGUGCAACAUGCCCCUGCACUGCGUGACCUACUUACAGCAAGUGGGAGUCAAUUCCCAUCAACUUCUCACUGUUCCGUCAGUCAAUACUUUGUUCUUAACACUGCUGUUUUCCUCUCCCAGAUGCACAGUUCAUGGUCAAAGGGAAAAAGGACCUUUUCUUGCCGCCUUCCCUCAAUGCUUUUCCCAGUUGAUAUGGUCAAGUGGUGUUGAUUUCCAAACCACACCUGAGAUGUGGAAGACAAGUGUAGGAGUGAGACAUACACCCGGUACUGCAGCUCUCUCAGCACUCUCUUCUGUUAGAUGAACAACAAUGAUUUUCACAAAUUUGUAACUUCCUUGUGAUGCCUUGGGGUGGGAUGGGCAGGAGAGUGCUUUGCUGGAGUAUGGCUCAAGGCUCGGCAUGGAGUGUUAACUGUCCUUCCCCUCCUGCUACUGCUGGAGGAAUGCCUCCAAGAGUUAACAUAAUUAAUUAAAAAUGCCAAAGCAUAGUAAAAACUCCCAUUUUUCCCAUACCGUCACCUGUGCUGUGAAGAAGGAGGCUGGCACCCACCUACUUCUGCAUCCAUGUGUCAUCUGGCACAGAGGUAAUGGGACGUGAAGGUGCCUCCGCUCUCAGGGAACAUGGCAGUGUUCAUCUCCUGGGGAGGCCACAGGGAGCUCAGGAGAAGUGGGAUUUUGCUGGCUUUGGGCUGAGCUGGGCUUCGUUUGUUUGUUUUCAGUGAAAGCGUUUACAUCUUCAGUGUGCAAACUAGGAUGCUUCUGCCAGGGUUCAGCCCACAGGAGUGUUGUACAGCCCGCGAGCAAGAAGAGACACUGAAAGCAUCCCCAUGUGGUGCAGCUUCUGAAACCAUGGGGUGAACGUGCGCUGACUUGGGGACGCUGGAAGGAAACAAGCAAUCCUUCAAGAUACUUAAAUAAUGUUUCAUGACUCAAGUGAAAUGCUCUUGUUAGGCCCUCUGGAGGAGAAUUUGACAUUUUCCAUGCCACCUGCAAGAUUAAAAGAAAAUUCUGUUGGCUUCUGCAUUGUCUCCUGAAAGGCAGAGGGGCUGACAGAAAUGUAAUUAAAUUACCUGCAGCAUUCAUCUGUUGUCAUAGCAGCCUUUGCAAUGAAUAUAACAAUAAUUUCAUCUACAGCCUAGCUUAAUGCAGCUUCACCUAGACCAGCCAGCAGGCAAUUUUUCUGUCCCAUAUCUGGCAGAGAAAGAGUUCAAGAGUUCCCAUUUCUGCUUCACCAACUGUGAUCUACCACAGGGUAAAAUCACCAAUUGUCUUUGCUGCACUCCUCCAGCAUCAGAUAACACUGGCCAUUACCUGUGGGUGUUCUUGUGUGAUUCAGAAGACAAGAUUGGUUGAUUAUAUUUUCUUUGGGCCUUAAAAAUCCCAGAAUCUCUGCAUCAACUUAUAUGCAAGUAAUAAAAGCACAGUGCAGUGUUUUCCAUCUCGGCUAAAUCCAAAAAGACCUGGCUGUGCUGUAAAUAUACGCCCUUCAUUUUGAUGGAGCUGUGAUUGAGCUUUAGUGUGAGGAGCACAGUAAGGACACAGCAGUGCUGGCAUUGAUCAAGGGCACAGCAGAGGGGGUAGGAUGUCUCUGUAUUUAUUUAUUUAUUUUAACUUGCCAAGUAGUAUAUUUCAAACUGAGAUGUUCUUGAUGGAUCCAGGUGUAGAGGCUCCAAUCUGUCCUUUGGUAGCUGUAGAAUGAGCUCCCUAGCUCGGUUCAGUAUCCUGUAGGUAAAUGGUGGUACCCAUUGCUGUGCUUGGCAGAGACAGGCCAGCAGGCUCUCUGCAGAAAGGCUAAAGGACUGAGGGAUCCCAAACACCUGCAUAAUAUCAAAUCCCUAAAGAUGGAUCAUCUGUUAACUCCAAGAAAAGAUAACGGGUAGUCCUAAUUUCCAUACUUUGCCCAUCUUUGGGAAUGGAGGACUUUGAUUUACCACUUUAGGACAUUUCAACAAAAUUUACUUCAAUUGCUGAUAAUCGAUUUUUUUCUUCUGAACUUUAUGUACUACUUUCCUCAAGAAAUGACUAUUUACCACUUUUCUCAAUUAAGCAGUCACACGAUUCAGAUGUGUAGGAGUAACAUUUCAAGAGAACAAUUAAAAACAACUCAAAAAUGGAAGAAUAAGAUAGCGGAGACAUACAGCAUCCACAAGAAAUCUGUGGAUCCACAUGGUAUAGCUGUGAAAUAUCCCCUUCUUUUUGCUUCUUUCCAUUCCAGUUAGGCAGUUCUAGGAAGCUGAGGUCCCCCUGCAAUGGCUUGUUCUUAUCUCAAAGAUUCAGGAAUUCACAAGUUGAAGUCUGUUUAAAUACCAUGUUUAAAAGGCUAACUUGUGCAUGGCCAAGAUAAGCUGAUUUGUAAGCUGAGGCUUCCCCGAGCCUGGUGUUUGGAGGAUUCUUCCUUCGGGCAUGUUCUCCUCAGAGCACUGAAGCUUUCUCUCUGGAGCAACUGUGCAUAAUGACCUCCCCAGGCUAAGCAGUAAAAAAAAAAAAAAAAAAAAAAAGAGUUGUUGCAAAUUGCUUAUGUGUUGUCAUUUUACUUUUCUUCAUAUAAAUAGACCCAAUGAUAUAUCCACAUGCACAGUAUCUUUCCUAUGAUGCUCUCAGGUGCUUUACACAGGUGCAUAAUGUUUGUUUCUGUAUUGCAGAUGAGCUAAGAGGGAUGGCAGCAACAGAAGAGCACAGCUGAGUCUCAAGUAAGGGUAGUGAGAGUCUAAGCAUUUAAAUGUGCCUUUGUUGUGCUGGAGCAUUCCAAGCAGUAUUUUCUUAGAGUUUGGUAAGUAUCAAAUACAUAUCAAAGCCAAUUCUUGCAUCAGGCUGUAUGUAUGAGACUGUAUAUCUGUCCCUUUGAAGGACCCAGAGGAAGGUGGAGAACAGCUAUAUUCACUGAGCAAGAAAGAAAUACUCCCUGCCUCUGCAGCUUCUCCACUUCCCAAUAUAUAGACACAAAAAAACUGAGAGCUUAAAUACUUCAGAGUCAUCUCCUGUUAGUCGUGGAAUAUCACAAGGUGUUAAAGACCCUAAGUUAAGUAUCUUCUCCAGUGGUUUGUUUGGCACUGAAGAAAGGCAUCAGGAGGUGAAUUUUCCUCAAAUUAAUCAUUUCCCUCAGUGCUGUGUUCCCCUAUGUUUUUCCUUCCUUUCUUCCCAUGUUUAAAUACAGCACACUGGGUAGCACGCAGCUACCCGGUAUGCUAACCUACACUCUCUGCUACCAAGGGAUUUGCUUAUAAAGCACACAGGAGGGAUAAUCAUGAGUACUCAUCUGUCCCUCAUGCCCAAAAUGAAUCACUCUUCAUACAUAAAAUUUGCCUUUCUUGGGUUCAAAUAGGAGAUGGUCCUUGGUCAACUCCAGUUCCCACUGGAGCCAAAGACAGGAAGUUCAGAGCUGUAAAUGAUGAGGUGCAUCCAAGUGAACUCGGACCCUGCAAGGUUUACAAGGGCUUGCUUACUGAGAAACUCUGCCUGACGGCCAUCUGGCGGUGCUUUUAUUACAAAGCUGCAAAACAGCCUCUAUUACAAGACACAAGCUACUGACUCAACAAAAGUCUUGCUCUGAAUUUCAUUACAACUACUGCAGUGUCAGAAACAACAAGAAAAUUUUGCAUGACUUAGCCAUUAUAGCCUGGCUAAACUCCAAAUUUUCCUCUGAUUUGGGUGUUACAUCAAAAAAGUUCCAGUUUCUCCUUCAGAGGACAGUACAGAUUUAAGUCGAUUACAUUUGACUUUCAUAGCGCACCCUGAGAAGCAGCAGCAGCAGGUUUCUCCCACAGCUCACAAGGGGCUGGGCGCAGUCACUCCGGGCUCCCUGGCUGCUUGGUUUGUGUCCCACGGGGCUGGCAUGGCUGCAGCCUCUGGUGCCUUUGAGCAUCACCUUCUG